rnacentral:rRNA from 1 species
GAUGAACGCUGGCGGCGUGCCUAAUACAUGCAAGUCGAGCGAACAGAUGAGGAGCUUGCUCCUCUGACGUUAGCGGCGGACGGGUGAGUAACACGUGGAUAACCUACCUAUAAGACUGGGAUAACUUCGGGAAACCGGAGCUAAUACCGGAUAAUAUAUUGAACCGCAUGGUUCAAUAGUGAAAGACGGUUUUGCUGUCACUUAUAGAUGGAUCCGCGCCGCAUUAGCUAGUUGGUAAGGUAACGGCUUACCAAGGCAACGAUGCGUAGCCGACCUGAGAGGGUGAUCGGCCACACUGGAACUGAGACACGGUCCAGACUCCUACGGGGGGCAGCAGUAGGGACUCUUCCGCAAUGGGCGAAAGCCUGACGGAGCAACGCCGCGUGAGUGAUGAAGGUCUUCGGAUCGUAAAACUCUGUUAUUAGGGAAGAACAAAUGUGUAAGUAACUAUGCACGUCUUGACGGUACCUAAUCAGAAAGCCACGGCUAACUACGUG